GAAUUGUUCACAAUGGGCGCAAGCCUGAUGACGCAACGCCGCGUGGAGGAUGAAGGUCUUCGGAUUGUAAACUCCUGUUGCCCGGGACGAACGGCUCCAACCUAACACGUUGGAGAUUGACGGUACCGGGUGAGGAAGCCCCGGCCAACUCUGGGCCCGCAGCCGCGGUAAUACAGAGGGGGCAAGCGUUGUUCGGAAUUACUGGGCGUAAAGGGCGCGUAGGCGGCCCGCUAAGUCGAACGUGAAAUCCCCGGGCUCAACCCGGGAACUGCGUCCGAUACUGGUGGGCUUGAAUCCGGGAGAGGGAUGCGGAAUUCCAGGUGUAGCGGUGAAAUGCGUAGAUAUCUGGAGGAACACCGGUGGCGAAGGCGGCAUCCUGGACCGGCAUUGACGCUGAGGCGCGAAAGCCAGGGGAGCAAACGGG
rnacentral:rRNA from 1 species